rnacentral:rRNA from 1 species
AUACGGAGGAUCCGAGCGUUAUCCGGAUUUAUUGGGUUUAAAGGGUGCGCAGGCGGCCAUUUAAGUCAGCGGUUAAAUCGUGGGGCUCAACCCCAUUCUGCCGUUGAUACUGGGUGGCUUGAUUGCGGUCGAGGUUGGCGGAAUUCGUUGUGGAGCGGGGAAAUGCAUAGAUAUGACGAAGAACACCGAUUGCGUAGGCAGCUGACCAGACCGCAAAUGACGCUCAUGUACGAAAGGGCGGGGAUCGAACAGGAUUAGAUACCCUGGUAGUCCGCACAGUAAACGAUGAAUACUGGUUUUCGGCGAUAUAAUGUCGGAGGCAAAGCGAAAGCGAUAAGUAUUCCACCUGGGGAGUACGCCGGCAACGGUGAAACUCAAUUGAAUUGACGGGG